CUACGCUGCGAUAAGCCGUGGGGAGCUGCGAAGAAGCUUUGAUCCGCGGAUUUCCGAAUGGGGAAACCCACCUUCGAUAGCCGGAACUCCAAGACCUUGUGUUUUGGGGUUCGACCAGAAAUGGAAGAAAUCAGACCGCGAGGUUUUGGAUUUCCGGUUAUCAAGAGAAGGUAUGAGACUUCCGAAUAAAAUAGGAGGUUUUAAGCAAACCCAGGGAACUGAAACAUCUAAGUACCUGGAGGAAAGGACAUCAAUCGAGACUCCGUUAGUAGUGGCGAGCGAACGCGGACCAGGCCAGUGAUACAUCAAAGACAAUCGGAACCUGUCAGGAAAGCAGGGCCUCAGAGGGUGAUAGCCCCGUACGAGUAAUGCGAUGAUGUAUCCACGAGUAAGGCGGGACACGUGUAAUCCUGUCUGAACACGGGGGGACCACCCUCCAAGCCUAAGUACUCCUCAGCGACCGAUAGC
rnacentral:rRNA from 1 species